UGAAGAUGAGAGAGUGGAGAGUCCCCUUAGCCCAGCCCCAGACCUUAAUAUGAAGGGUGCAAGUUCUGGAAAUGAGCUGCCAAGGGGUACACAAACGAAAAAAGCCAUGGCAGCCAAUGAGAACAGAAACGUCAAGAUUUGAAUGGCCACACUACGGAAAUGUCUUCCUGAAAGGUCAUGGUAAAGGCAGUGCUUAAUUUAGAAGUUACUUCCAAAUGCAGGUGUCAUCCCCUUUCACCAGCAUGGUGCAUAUGCUCACCACUACUACUGACCUUCUGGAGCAAAGCUGUUGAAGCUAAAGAGGUUCUACCGAUGUCCCUUUGUCUUUAAAUUGUCCUCAUUUCAUGCAAUGCCCCAUUGGAGAAAAGGUUAUAAAUCUCAACAGAAAGCUCUAGGAAUGAAGACUGUCAGGCGGCACAAUACUGGAAGAACAGAAGAUGGAAAAAGGGAUUUGCCUCUAAGAAUGAUACUUGAAAGAUCCUAACUCCAUCCAAAUAACUCUAUGUUGCUUAAAACACUGCAUGAAUGUUUGCAUUUGUCCAAUUUGCCCUGACAUACAGAUUUUGUCUGGAUCCUUAUCUAAUGUCUACAUAUUUGUAUGUUUUUAUUAUACAUGCAUUUUCGUAUGCCUCUUUUCUAAACACAUACAUUUUGUACAUUUUUAUCAUAAAACCACACAUCAAAAUUUGAAGAAAUGUGGAAUCUGAAGAAUUACUUGUAUUCCCAUCCAUAUAGCAGUCGAGGAAGUAUGAGUUAUGUGAGUUCCCUUAAAACUGUAGACUGAUUCAAUUUCUCCCAAAGCAUUUUUUUAUUCCUUAAUUAUCCCGUAGUCCUAGACAGAGCUGUAGACAUGGAGGCAGAAAUCUGAAACCUGCUCUUCUCAUCUGCAAGUCAGGUUCAAGUCUCCAGAACCAUUGUUAUUGUUGUUGUUGCUAUUUAUGAAGCCUGUUUUUUUUUCACUCCAUGGAAUACCAUGAAGAAAAAUAUGGAAAACUAAGCUAUUAAAACUACCAAAUAAGUUGCAUAUUAAUGCCUGAUAUUAAAUAUGGUGCAAGACUUUGAAGUAAGGAGCUUAAGAAAUUCGUCUGUUUCAAAUGUCUGAUUCCGUUUUGAGCCAAGGCC